UAUAAAUGUUUGUUAAAGUUAAAUUAAAAUGUAAAUUUAUGCAUUAUUAUAAUGAUUAAAGUAAAUGAUAUAUAUAUUAUAGUUUUUGAAACACGGUGUUUCAAAAAGUAUUAUGAAUGAUAUCAACAUAUUAUUUACCAUAGUGUAUAUAUAUUUUUCCCUUUAUCAAAAAUUCAAGAGGAACACUUUGAAUUAUUUUUCAACGGCAAGAGCUAAAAUGUGGUUAUUUGUUGAUUUUAGCAAAUGAUUUUAUUGUUUGAAGCACUCAGUCAGGUCUCAGAACUCCCAAAUCAAACUUUUUGGAAAAUUUGGCAUUUCAUCCCAAAUCAUGAGAUGGAAUUGUUGUCCAUGAGGAGCUGAAAAGUUGUUAUUUGUUGAAUUUUAGCGAAUGAUUAACCCUUUAUUGUUUCAAGCACUCACUCAGGUCUCAGGUAUGAAAUCUAUCCAUUAUUUUCAAACCUUAGAUUGCAAACCGUGAUUGUAGUGUUAACAUGUGUGUGGCCACAAAUGUGUGUUUUGCCUGUGUGGCCUCAUCGAUCAAGAAUUCAACUUUGUGACAUUCACAUGGUAUGUUUCUCACAUUGUUGAAAAUGAGAAUGCAAUAGUCCUUGAGUUUAAACAUAAAAAUAAGAUGAGUAGUUUAUCACGAUAUCCAAUAUUAAUCGAUGUAUGGUGUUUAAGUUUUGAAAGAUGAUUUUGGGAAGCAAGUAACUAAUGGUGAGGAUAAAAUAUAUAUUUAUUUGCCUUGAUUAGUAAGUUUCUCAAGAGUUACAUUGAGAAUCAAUGCAUUUUCCCAGUGAAUUAGUUUUACGUUUUAUAACACAAAUUUAUCAUUGAUUCACGGUGGAAAACUAGCAGUGUUUAGUCUUGAACUACAUCGAAAAGGGCUGGUUUACUGUUCCGCAUCGCGAAUGGGCAUAUGCUCUCUGUUUUUAUGGGUAGUUUCCUCAAUGAAUUUCUGCAAAUUGUUAACUCUUAAAGUGUUUGCAUGAGUGAUUAUUGUCUUAAUGCAUGAUUCUGAUUAAUUCGUAUAAAAUAUAAGAUUUUCUUGUUCUGUCUGCAAUUACAGUUUGAUUUGAGUUAACAGAGUUUUGGAAAGAAUAGUUUGUUAUUUGCCUUCCUAGUAAAACAUUUCCAGCAACUAUUGACAUCACAUUUUGUUGACCUCAAUCCAUACUCUACAGUCAAACAAUUAAUUUAUUGGAUUCCCCAAAUAAUUUGGAGUUAAUCCUGAAAGUUGAUUUUGUCCCAAGUACCAAAUGCUAGAAUUUACAAAUGUUAUCUCCAGUAAGAAAAUGCGACGUAAUCUACGGCAGUAUAACUCUUUAUUGGUUCCCUCCAUGAUACAAUAACCUAAAAACGUCGUAUAACUCAAAUUCCAUAUUAGUUGAAGAGUCCAAAACUCUACCAAAAGAACGUACACCUUCCUUCAAUAUAAAAUUACUCUUUUUUAUAUAGUGAAUAGUUGAAGACUUAGAAUAUUCUUCUUUGUCUCAACUCUCUCUUUCAAUACACUAACCUCAACGUGCAAUAUACUACUUCUCACCUCUAUUUUUGUCCUAAGACCACCACUAUUUAUAGGUGAAGAAUGUGGGUAAAUGAACAGAGAAAUUAUGCCUUAAAAGUUACAUGAGUAACACAAUACACAAUAAUAAAUAUUAAUUGAUGUAUACUGUUAGGUUUUGAAAAAUAAUUUGGAAAUUAGUAACUAAUGGUGAGGAUAAAAUGUAUAUUUAUUUGCCUUGAUUAGGAAGCUUCUCAAGAGUUUCAUCGAGAAUCUGCUUUUAACCAUGCAUUUUUCCAGUCCAGUGAGUUGGUCAGUGGAAAAUUACGUUUUAUAACCCAAAUUUGUCAUUGAUUUACGGUGGACAACUUGUAUAUUUUAGUCUUAACAGCAUCGGAAAAGGCUAGCUUGGCUACACUAUAUUAAAAAUGAUCAUUAGCGGUACUUAAUUCUUAAUUGCCACUAAAUAUGUAUUUUUAGCGGCAAUUAACACUCUUUGUAUAUGUCCCUGAAGCCUUUAGCGACAUUGGUUCUAAUGACACUGAACUAGUGCCGGUAAAAACUUUAACACUCUUUAUUAAUGUCAAUAUUUAAUGCUACUCAAAGUUAUUUUUGCUGUAGUGCUAGUUGACUCAACUAUUCUGCAUCGUGAACGGGAUCUUUAACUGCAUAAGCUCUCUGUUUUUAUGGGUUGUUUCCUUGUAUUUGACAUUUCCAAGUUGUCCCUCACAAGCGAAUUAAGAGGUGAAUCAUCUAAUCUUGAAAUAGGUCAUGUAAUGCUUUCUCGACUUUUUGUAUAAUCAUUUUGUCAGAUAUUUGAAUCAUACGUUUUAAGGAUUCUGCUUUUCACGUUCAUUCUAUAAGACGAAAAUGAGGUCUUUCCUUUCUAGUUGGAGCAAAAACGUCAAUUCUAAGAAAAGACCAAAAUGAGGUAUUUCCUUUGUCUCAUUUUAAGUAUUGUUUUAGCUUUUUUCGCUCCCAUUAAGUAAAAACAGAUAUUUCCUUUGUCUUUCUUCUUCAAAUCUGUCCAAUAGUUCUUGGUAGUUCAUCUCCUUUUCUUCGGUUUAUUGGAUCUUGUUGACACCAUUAUGUGAUUUUGUUUUGCCAGUUGAACCGGCAGGUGUCUUGGAACAAAUUUCUCAGUAAGAUUAUCUUACUAUCCCAACUAAUAUUCUUUCUUUCAUGCUUCUUUAUGUUAUCGCGAUGUUGCCUAGGAGAAAUAUCUGCAUUUGCAAAACGAUGAUCCAACAUAUCCUCUUCUUCACUUUCCACAAAGAUGUCCUCAUCGUUGUAGGUUAUCAAAUCUAUUUAGAGAGAAAUGACUAUUACCACCAACUUGUAGUUUUUUUAGUUGGCUAACAAAGCCAGUCGAUUUAUUUUCAAAAAAUAAAUGGACUAACAAAUGAUAAAAUGUUUAAAAUCUUGAAUUUCUAUUUCGUAACACUGAAAUGCUAAAGGAGACACAUCACUAAGGAAUAAUGUUACGUUUUUUCUUAUUUUUUCUAAAUUUUGUACGAUUGUGUGCUAGUUAACUCACGAAUACUUUUUUGAAAGACUUCUCCAUCACAAAAUUUUGCCUGCAUCUUUUACAAAAACUAGUCAAUUUCUUGAUUAUGUUAACCAAUUAUUAGGGGGAAUGACAUGUCAAGGAGAAUUAAGGAGACAAGCUAAGGUUAUCUUUUUUUGGUUGAAUGUUUCAUUUAUAUGGUUCAUAUGAAUACAGUAAUUAAAUUCCGCUCGUACUUUACAUAUAUAUAUAUGUAUGUAUGUAUACAUUUAUUUUUUUGUGUAUGUAAGUACAGAUAUAUAACAUAUUGUGACCUUGAUAAAUAAAAUAAAUUAUGAUAAAA